CUAUAGCAAGUAAUAAGGAUAGAUACUGUUCAUGAAAUUCUCUCAAAUUUGUUGUAUGCAGUCACGUAUGUGUCAUUAAAUCAUGAGCAAAAUCUUUUAAGAAUAGGUCACAAUGAAAAAGUUCAGAAAAAUGUUUUAGCCAGCUCUUAAGAGAUAAUGGGCUUGUUAUGCUAUUUUGUUCAGCAACCAAGCAUACAUCCAGCACUUGCAAGCCCUUGUAAGUACUGUUUGUGUUUUAGAGGAUUUAUUCACAUACUUUUCUAGUUAUAGAAUUAAAAGCCUUUUACAGUAUUAAAAUUUAAUAAUAUAGAAUCAGGAGACUAAGAAAGGCCUUAGUACCUCACACAGUGCAUAGUGAACAAAUAUUUGCUGAAUAAAUGGAUCUGGCCGACCUCGUUAGCUGAAGGCAAGUCCACACUGAACCCCCUGUAUAGCUGGAUUUUAUCAAGUUCUGAAUAUUUCCUUCCCAGCACAUUCCAUAGGNNNNNNNNNNNNNAACCUCAAGUUUCAUUACACCUACAGACAUUUUGAGGAAAAAACACAGUAUGCAGAUAUUUUCUCUCAGAAUAUUUUAACAUUUAUUAUAUUGAAAUAUAUUUCUAUCAAUAUGUAUAUUAUAUUUUUAAAAUAAGUAUUACAGGUAGAUUCUGCUCAGACAGUUCAGCAAGAUCAGUUGAAAACAGAUUUAAACAAAUGCUUUUUAAAAACAGAUGGAAAAAUCAGGCCCUGUUAAUAGCCCUUAAGUGCUCUCACCCAGGCUGCAGAAGUUUGGCCCCUAGGGAGAGUGGCAGCUGUGACUCACACCGGGACACUCACCAUGGAAAUCAGGCCUCGGGAUCAUCCUGUAGCCAUCAAUCCUCCUCCUCCUAAUCCACCCUGAUAUUUUAUUAUUUUUUAAUUUAAAUUUAUUUUAAUUUGAGGCUAAUUACUUUACAAUAUUGUAUUGNNNNNNNNNNNNNNNNNNNNNNNNNNNNNNNNNNNNNNNNNNNNNNNNNNNNNNNNNNNNNNNNNNNNNNNNNNNNNCCCGUACCAUCCCUCCAGGUCAUCCCAGUGCAGCAGCCCCAACUCUGGUAUUUUAGAAGUAAAAUACUGAAUUGGUGUGAAGGGGCUGGCUCCUCACUACCUUGACACAUCUCUUUAAUGUGGCCCAUGAAGGCCUCCAGUGGUCAAGCCCAAAAUACCAGUCCUGGUCUUCUCUCUGUCUCACAGGAGCCCCGGAGGAGCUGAAGGGAAUGUAAAUCUCCAAUCACCUAAUCUCUUCAAAACUCAAUCCCACUCUGGUUCUUCUAAGAUAUAGAUAGGCCUCUUCCUUCACCUGACUCAGACUUAACCUUUUCAUUAAUGAAGCACCCAAGACAAAAAUUUUAACUCAAAUUUAGGUAUCUGAGCAAUCACUCAAAAGCACCCUUAAUUCAUCUCUUUUUCUGAAUCCUUAAUACAACUAAUCACUAAAAACUGCCAAUUCCUGUCUUCAAAAUAUUUCUCCUAUGUUCCCAACUCCAUUCCUACUUUCAGGUUAAUGAAAGCUAUCCAUAUUGCUCAUUUGGAUUAACAGUUAUUGCUUUCUAUUCUCUUAUACUAACAGAGUUUGCAGUGGUUUUCAGGAAUUCAGUGGGACAGAACAAUUUUUUUAAGUACACAAAAAAUAUUAAAGAAGAAAAUUUCAGAAGAUCAAAUAAGCCCGAAGUUAACACAUUGAAAAACACCAUGGAGUCUUAAACUAUUACUAAAAAUGGACUUUCAUCGAUCUUCCAAGUAAUAAGAAAGCAACCUAGUCUCAAUCACAAAAUCCAUGGUUGCCAUAACAUACAAAUUGACAAAAUGAAUUUUUCGUCUGGAGUUAUCAGACUCAUG
rnacentral:lncRNA from 1 species